AAUAUAUUUAUAUAUUUAUAAAUAAAUUAAUUACAAAUACGAGAGAGAAUCAAAAAGUAAAGGCAACUUACCCUUAUAACGGGUUAACAACAGAUAACAGUUAUAUCACUGCUCCAAUUACUCUCCCUGCUGGUUGGUGAACUUCUUGUUUCGCUCCACUAACUUUUUUAUUCUGCUCCUGAAUCCAGGUGUCUAUCACUUCCUUAACUUCAUCAUCAGAGAUGAACCUGCGACCGGAUAGAGCUUCUUUAACUGGACCGAAGAUGUAAUAGUUGCAUUGUGCUAGAUCAGGCUUGUAAGUGGGAUAUGGAAGAUGUUAAAAUAACAGCUGUUUAAGUGCCUCCAUAGUUGAGGCUGCUGCUUGAGUAAGUGUGUUGUCAUGCAACAGCAAGACUGUUUUUGACAGCCUUCCAGUUUCAGUUUCUUUCUAAGCACAGUACAUUACACUGGUCACUGAUUUUGUAUGUUCUUGAAAAUACAUAGGAAUAGAACCAUUGAUGUCCCAAAAGAAGAUUUUCUUGUUGGUGGACUGUCAAUUGAUUUUUUUCUUUACUGGAGAAGACAGGUACUACCAAUGCAUUCUUUUGUCACGUGCUUUCCAGAUCACAGUGAUGGACCUGUGUGUCAUCUCCUGUGACAAUCUGCUCCAAAACUCUUGGAUGUUCUUCGUAACAUUUCAGGAAUUAGGUUGCAACCACCACGCAAUGUUGCUUGUAAGCCAUUUGAUUACCCAUCUUGUUCAAACUUUACAGUACCCCAAGUCAUUGUGCACUGUGGCUUGUACAGAUCCAUAACUGGUAAUCCAAAUGUGCAGCAACAGAGGGCAACAUAAUUCAUCAGUCCUCUCUGAUGCAGACAUUCAUCAUGUUAAUGUGGUCUUGUUGGUGCAAAGUUUAUGGUUGACCAGAUUGAGCUUUGCUGGUUUCUCUUGUUCUUCCCACUUCAAACCAUUGUAUCCAUUCAUAAACAUUUUUAGCAAAAAAUGGGGUCAAAAAUUAAAACUGGCAAAAGAGAGCUUAGCAAGUUACUCAGAUGUUUAAGAUCAAUCACCUGAAAGUGUCUUAAAGGCCAGCGAUGUUUGGCCCAAUAUUGUCAGCGUGUGAAGGAACGAGUGCCAAUCAAAACAGAGUUUGUAUAAAGCAGGAUAAAACAUUUGUGUUAUUAAUUUCAGGUGGGGAGACAGUGUAUGUAUGAAUCUAAUAGACCUCGCUUUUUAAUAGUGUCCUGUCCUAGUCUUUGCCCCUGAGAUGGCGUGCUGUUUCCUAAUAGCAUAGCUGUGUUAUGGUUUGUGCUUUCUGAAUUAAAUCAUGGUUUUAAAGCUCACUAUUUGAUGGAGUGUAUUUGUAUAUGUUUAUGUACAAUGAUUCUACUUUUAAUUGAUUUGAUUCACCAGUGCAUAAUAAAGGGAAAGACAAAAUAAAGUAUAAAUCACACCUUCAAAUUAUAAGCCCAUUGAGGAAUGAGAGGAAUAAGAGUAUCAUUGAUAAUUAAAAUACUGCCCUUUUAAAAAGUUGCGCAACAGUUGCUUCUUAGACAUGGAAACACUUAUUUCUCAAAUAAAUAAACAUUUGUAAUUAUGCUCUUUUUUCCUUUUUCAAUAGGCAGUACCAACUUUAUUUCACAGAUACUGUAUAUUGAACUUAUUGGUAUAUUGAACUCCUAUUCCAUUCGUAAACAAAUCCGGUAAACAUUCUUGAACAGGCCACUGUAGUAUUAUUUAAAAACAAAUCAUGUGAUAUAGUAGACUGUGAAUUAUUUUAUAACUAUCAUCACCAGAAACUGCUAACUGGAAAAACCAGUAACUUACGGAAACUGAAUUUAAAACUGUUAUUUAGAUGAGAGGCAUGAACAUUUAAAAAUUACAAAAUUCUCCACUGGCUUCUGUGCUUGGACUACUCCUUUUAAUUUAUUUGAAUAAAAAUGUAAUGCUUUAAAAUCGAUGAAUGUCAUACAAUUGCAAAGACAGCAAUCACUGAACAGUGAUCAAAAACAAUUUUAAGGGUACAGACUACAUUUAAAACUGGGAUGUGUGCAGACUACUAGGAUAUGGAACUUUAGUUGUAAAUCCAAAAUAAAACAUGCCUGCCUGGAGAAAACAAAAUCUGAAAAUUGUUGAGCCUUACAUUAGUGCAACCUUCCCAACAUAUAGGAACUGUGCAUAAUCAUCCAAAUAAAAAUAUAUGGUUAUAUUGUAGAAUAUUGUCCAUUGAACCAUUUUUUAGCACACAUACUGUUUAGGGUUGCUGGGAGCCUUUGUACCUUAAACACAUUACACUUCCUUUGUGUGCCGCUGGAGCACAGGCAAGUAACUUACUCAGGUUUGUACAGUGAUUUGAGGGUUGGAAUUGAACCAACAGCCUUACUGUUUAAAGUCAAACACUUUAGCCACCAAUCUGUUAGUCAACACCUUUUUCUCAGAAUAUAUAAUGUACUUCGAGUAUUUAUGCAGUUUCCAUCAGAAAUACAAAACAUGCAUUAGCUUGAGUAUUUAUACAGGGAAUGAGGCCAAGAGCAAUGCAUAGUUAAAGGGCACGUCCAAGCUAAUUUAACGACACUCAUUUUUAGACUGAGGUGGGCUCGAUUUACUGAUUUUCUUUAGGUAACCCACUUUGUAAAUUUUACAGGAUUGGUGUUUUCAAAACACUGACAAUGGAGUGUUCGGCAAACUAACACAGCUUCACUCACACUUGCACUGCCUCCUGGGUUUGGUCAUACAGUUUCGUAUAGUUAACUCACACUGUGUGGUUUUUUUCUUCCUGACUGCAUAUGUAUAUUUUUUAUUGUAUUAUAUGGUAUAAAUUCCCUUGUAUACAACUUUCUAAGAGUUCUUACUAUACAAUAAAGUGAGUGAUUUACUGUAAAAUAA